CCCUUAGACGUUCUGGGCCGCACGCGCGCUACACUGACACAGGCAACGAGCUUUCCUUUACCGAAAGGUAUGGGUAAUCUUUUGAAACUGUGUCGUGCUGGGGAUAGAUCCUUGCAAUUUUUGAUCUUAAACGAGGAAUUCCUAGUAAGCGCGAGUCAUCAACUCGCGUUGACUACGUCCCUGCCCUUUGUACACACCGCCCGUCGCUACUACCGAUUGAAUGGCUUAGUGAGGCCUCAGGAUCCGCGCUUAAUGUGUGGAGAAUUUGGACAAACUACGUCAUUUAGAGGAAGUAAAAGUCGUAACA
rnacentral:rRNA from 1 species